rnacentral:rRNA from 1 species
UUAAAAGGCUCGUAGUUGGACUUCUGCUUUGGUUGGUUGGUCUACCCACUGGGUAAGUAUCUGGAAUGACUGAAGCAUGUGUUGCAAAUAUAUUACUGCACUUGACUGUGUGGUGUGGUAUUUAUCGCUUUUACUUUGAGCAAAUCAGAGUGUUCCACGCAGGCGGAUGUCUUGAAUAUGUGAGCAUGGAAUAAUGAGUCAAGGCUUUGGUUAGUUGUUGGUUCAAAACAUUGGGUAAUGAUGAAUAGGGAUAGUUGGGGGCACUUGUAUUUAAUUGUCAGAGGUGAAAUUCUUGGAUUUGUUAAAGACAAACCAUUGCGAAAGCAUUUGCCAAAAAUGUCUUCAUUGAUCAAGAACGAAAGUUAGGGGAUCGAAGACGACCAGAUACCGUCCUAGUCUUAACCAUAAACUAUGCCGACUAGAGAUUGGAUGUCGUCAUCUACAGGAGGCUUUCAGCACCCAAUGAAAAAUCAACGUUUUUGGGUUCCGGGGGGAGUAUGGUCGCAAGUCUGAAACUUAAAGGAAUUGACGGAAGGGCACCACCAGGAGUGGAGCCUGCGGCUUAAUUUGAUUCAACACGGGAAAUCUUACCAGAUCCAGACAUAACAAGGAUUGACAGAU